rnacentral:rRNA from 1 species
GAUGAACGCUGGCGGCGUGCCUAAUACAUGCAAGUCGAGCGAACAGACGAGGAGCUUGCUCCUCUGACGUUAGCGGCGGACGGGUGAGUAACACGUGGAUAACCUACCUAUCAGACUGGGAUACCUUCGGGAAACCGGAGCUACUACCGGAAAAUAUAUCGAACCGCAUGGUUCAAUAGUGAAAGACGGUUUUGCUUUCACUUAUAGAUUGAUCCGCGCCGCAUCAGCUAGUUGGCAAGGUAACGGCUUACCAAGGCAACGAUGCGUAGCCGACCUGAGCGGGUGAUCGGCCACACUGGAACUGAGACACGGUCCAGACUCCUACGGGAAGCAGCAGCAGAGAAUCUUACGCGAUGGGCGAAAGCCUGACGGAGCAACGCCGCGUGAGUGAUGAAGGUCUUCGGAUCGUAAAACUCUGAUAUCAGUGAAGAACAAAUGUGUAAGUAACUAUGCACGUAUUGACGGUACCUAAUCAGAAAGCCACGGCUAACUCCGUG